GGUGUUUGUUUUUUUUUCCUUGCCUUGCCACAACCCUGGGGGAAAAGUGGGUUAGAGGCUGUAAGACCUCCUGCCUCUGUUUCAGCAAUACUUCCCCGUCCCUGCCCAGGAGCUCAAGGAACAGCACAGGACCCGGUUUCAGCAGCUUGGCUACAUCAGCCUCUUCUGUCAGCAGCCCUGGAAGCGAGGUGCUGCUGCCUGGUAGAGAACCACUUGAAAAAGACAUCAUCUCUUCCAAGCUGAUGUUUGGCCUCUUUCCAGACCAUAACAUCACUGCGUUUCCCCUGGCGCUUGGGUAUGCCAGAGAGGAGCUGGAAGGAGCACAACAUUCGGGGAAGAUCAUCUAUUUCUGCGGCGCUCAGCUGUCCAAAUGUAGCUGGUGAGAAAGCAAGCUGACUUGGGAAGGUGUCAUACGCAGGAUGUGAAAGGAAUGGGAAAUUCAGCGUUACUGAUUUGCUAAAUAUACACACGCUGCAACUCCAGUUCCUCAAAGGUUCACCGAUGUGGAAAAAUCAAGGAACCAUCUGUGAUCUUUUGGGGAAAACAUUGGUGUUGUAAAUGUUUCCACCGUUCCCUCCUGAUGUUGGCGGUGCCCUGCACUCAAUGCCAAUGCCCUUUAAACCAGGGGACAACAUGGAGUGACUUCUGGCUUAAAGAAAAAAGCAACAAACAGAUAAACAAAGCUGACUUACACUGAAGCAGGAGCCACUGCUCUGCCUGGAUCGCUUUUCAGCAAGAAGAUCUUUGACUGUGUGUUUCACUCGCACUCCUUGGUACACUCGCUUGCCAAAAUCUGUAGUAACUAAGUGAAUGAGAGAAGUGUUAGAGGAGUUCAGCAAAGGCAGAGAGUAGGCGGAAGAGGUUGUUAUGGAAGAAACAAAUUCCCUGCCUCUACACCAAGUUAGGGAGGAAGCACGUAAGACUAUUAUUCAUGCAAAAUCAUCCCUUAGGAACCCCACAGUGAGGGCUGCUCGUCUGCGGAGAACAAAGACUGAGGUGCCCUGCCCUGUAGUUAGCACUGGGUGCCAUGCGGUUUCUCUGCAGCUCUAUCAGUGCCAGGCUGGCUGAUGGUUUAUUUUUUUUUCCAGAGUGCUUGGGGGCUCCCACAUCUCCCCUUUGGAUCAUCAGAAUUCGAUUUAACGGCACAGCCCUGCUUGCUUCCAGCAGAGAUGCUGCGGUUUAGCUCCUCGUUGCCUUUCUGGAGUUGCUGGCUUUCAGCACAUCGCUCUGGGGGCUGAGACAGUUUUGAUCUCAGUGCUGCAAAGGUAGAAGUAGCCCAAAUGGUGGGACUGACCUCUCUAAAUGGUGAUGUGAAUUAGAUUGUGAAGAUGUCAUGAAAGGAAAAGGAGGGUAUGGUCUCAGCCAUGCCACCCUGGAGGCUGAUGGCAGUCCUGCCUGUUCUCUCAAGCUGCCUGGAAUCCAGCAGGACCUGUACAUAAGGUCUGUGUGACUUCUGGUGCAAGGCAUUUGUCCUCUUCCCUUGCCUGGAAAAAGCUUUGAGGUCUAUCUGCCUUGUGUACAGGUGUUCUGACACAAGUGAGGGCAGAGAGGUACAGGGUGCAGUUCCAGGGGAGAUCUUUUAUCCCGGCCAAGGUCUGUGCUGCAAAGAGCUCGCACCUGCGGAGCCAGGGAGGAGUGUCCAGAUGGGCUUUUAUUGGAGUCUUCCAGAGAAAAACUGAAGUUUGAAGUUAAUCCCUUGGAAAACACAAAGCUGUGCUCUCCCGAGGGAACGCCAACAGCCACUCCACAGCUGAUGUGUUUGUCUGAAAUUGUGAUUUAUCUUUUUGCCCGUCUGCUUUCCAGGAAGUGCCGUUUGGGUACAUUUAUCACUUUAAUUCGUGUGGCACGGCAUCCCCAGGUGCACAUGCAUACGGAGAGGUUACAAAGAGAAGAGGAGGAGGGUGGAAGCAACACAAUCUCAAUGCUGGCUUGGGGUUACCCCAGGUGUUUUCUGUUGGGCAUAGCAGUUGCAAUUUUGGGGCAACUGCAGCUUGGCUUUGGUGUUUGAAUACUCACCAGAGAGAGACUUGAGCCAAGACAGGAGGCAAACACAUUGCAAGGACACAGCCCCCAAAAAACUUAUGAUCGAUGUAGUCUAAAUAGGGGUGAAGACAGUCUGCACGCUUACCAGCCAGCAUCUCUGGACAAGCCAAGACAUAGCCAGUAAUGGAUAUAAUCACUUGACAUUGAAAGAAAUUUGCCUGUAUACCGAGACUGGCUCUUCUCCAUGGCCCAAAGAAGUGUCCCUCCCAUAGCCCCUCUUCUGGGCUGAUUUUACUGAGAGCAGUUGGAAGCAGGGGUACCCGUGCUGGCAGCUGGAUUCAAAAGCUCUGGCAGAGCAGGCAUAAGUGGUGCAGAAACAGCUAUACUUCCUGCGUCGGAAUCUUUGCGUGAGUUCCUUUAGAGAAGCACUGCAAUUUGAUGGAUGAGCCAGAACUGCAGAGCACAGCUCACUGGGCUCCACCAUGCUUUGCUGCCUCCAGUAACUCAGGCAGCUGUUGCUGGCUGCAUCCAGCUGAAGAAUCAGGCCUCUCCUCAGCACAGAUCUUUGGCAGAGGGACCCAAGCAAUGCGUACUCAUAUUUAAUUUUCAGAAUGGAGGUAUCUCUGAAAUAGCAUUGCCGAAAAGAAAAGCCGUGACCGGCUUUAAUUCCUUUGCUCAUCAGCCUGCUAUUGCCAAAUCCUACAUCUUUGUUAACUGACCUUGCUUCUGU